rnacentral:rRNA from 1 species
AUUGAACGCUGGCGGCAUGCCUUACACAUGCAAGUCGAACGGCAGCACGGGUGCUUGCACCUGGUGGCGAGUGGCGAACGGGUGAGUAAUACAUCGGAACAUGUCCUGUAGUGGGGGAUAGCCCGGCGAAAGCCGGAUUAAUACCGCAUACGAUCUACGGAUGAAAGCGGGGGCCCUUCGGGCCUCGCGCUAUAGGGUUGGCCGAUGGCUGAUUAGCUAGUUGGUGGGGUAAAGGCCUACCAAGGCGACGACCAGUAGCUGGUCUGAGAGGACGACCAGCCACACUGGGACUGAGACACGGCCCAGACUCCUACGGGAGGCAGCAGUGGGGAAUUUUGGACAAUGGGCGAAAGCCUGAUCCAGCAAUGCCGCGUGUGUGAAGAAGGCCUUCGGGUUGUAAAGCACUUUUGUCCGGAAAGAAAUCCUUGGCCCUAAUACGGUCGGGGGAUGACGGUACCGGAAGAAUAAGCACCGGCUAACUACGUG